rnacentral:rRNA from 1 species
CAGUCGCCGCGGUAAUACGUAGGUGGCAAGCGUUGUCCGGAAUUAUUGGGCGUAAAGGGCUCGCAGGCGGUUUCUUAAGUCUGAUGUGAAAGCCCCCGGCUCAACCGGGGAGGGUCAUUGGAAACUGGGAAACUUGAGUGCAGAAGAGGAGAGUGGAAUUCCACGUGUAGCGGUGUAAUGCGUAGAGAUGUGGAGGAACACCAGUGGCGAAGGCGACUCUCUGGUCUGUAACUGACGCUGAGGAGCGAAAGCGUGGGGAGCGAACAGGAUUAGAUACCCCGGUAGUCCCUGUCUCUUAUAC